rnacentral:rRNA from 1 species
GAUGAACGCUGGCGGCGUGCUUAACACAUGCAAGUCGAACGGAAAGGCCCUGCUUUUGUGGGGUGCUCGAGUGGCGAACGGGUGAGUAACACGUGAGUAACCUGCCCUUGACUUUGGGAUAACUUCAGGAAACUGGGGCUAAUACCGGAUAGGAGCUCCUGCUGCAUGGUGGGGGUUGGAAAGUUUCGGCGGUUGGGGAUGGACUCGCGGCUUAUCAGCUUGUUGGUGGGGUAGUGGCUUACCAAGGCUUUGAUGGGUAGCCGGCCUGAGAGGGUGACCGGCCACAUUGGGACUGAGGUACGGCCCAGACUCCUACGGGAGGCAGCGGUGGGGAAUAUUGCACAAUGGGCGGAAGCCUGAUGCAGCAACGCCGCGUGCGGGAUGACGGCCUUCGGGUUGUAAACCGCUUUCGCCUGUGACGAAGCGUGAGUGACGGUAAUGGGUAAAGAAGCACCGGCUAACUACGUG